GACGAACGCUGGCGGCGUGCUUAACACAUGCAAGUCGAACGGAAAGGCCCUGCUUUUGUGGGGUGCUCGAGUGGCGAACGGGUGAGUAACACGUGAGUAACCUGCCCUUGACUUUGGGAUAACUUCAGGAAACUGGGGCUAAUACCGGAUAGGAGCUCCUGCUGCAUGGUGGGGGUUGGAAAGUUUCGGCGGUUGGGGAUGGACUCGCGGCUUAUCAGCUUGUUGGUGGGGUAGUGGCUUACCAAGGCUUUGACGGGUAGCCGGCCUGAGAGGGUGACCGGCCACAUUGGGACUGAGGUACAGCCCAGACUCCUACGGGAGGCAGCAGUGGGGAAUAUUGCACAAUGGGCGGAAGCCUGAUGCAGCAACGCCGCGUGCGGGAUGACGGCCUUCGGGUUGUAAGCCGCUUUCGCCUGUGACGAAGCGUGAGUGACGGUAAUGGGUAAAGAAGCACCGGCUAACUACGUG
rnacentral:rRNA from 1 species